GGACGAACGCUGGCGGCGUGCUUAACACAUGCAAGUCGAACGAGAGGACAAGAGAAGCUUGCUUCUUUUGGAAUCGAGUGGCAAACGGGUGAGUAACACGUAAACAACCUGCCUUCAGGAUGGGGACAACAGACGGAAACGACUGCUAAUACCGAAUACGCUUGGGAGACCGCAUGAUCUUCCAAGGAAAGGGUGGCCUCUACUUGUAAGCUAUCGCCUGAAGAGGGGUUUGCGUCUGAUUAGCUGGUUGGAGGGGUAACGGCCCACCAAGGCGACGAUCAGUAGCCGGUCUGAGAGGGUGAACGGCCACAUUGGGACUGAGACACGGCCCAAACUCCUACGGGAGGCAGCAGUGGGGAAUAUUGCACAAUGGGCGAAAGCCUGAUGCAGCGACGCCGCGUGAACGAAGAAGUAUUUCGGUAUGUAAAGUUCUAUCAGCAGGGAAGAAGAAAUGACGGUACCUGACUAAGAAGCUCCGGCUAAAUACGUG
rnacentral:rRNA from 1 species